rnacentral:rRNA from 1 species
GACGUAGGGCGCGAGCGUUGUCCGGAUUUAUUGGGCGUAAAGAGCUCGUAGGCGGCUUGUCGCGUCGUUCGUGAAAACCUGUGGCUCAACUACAGGCUUGCGGUCGAUACGGGCAGGCUGGAGUUCGGUAGGGGAGACUGGAAUUCCUGGUGUAGCGGUGAAAUGCGCAGAUAUCGGGAAGAACACCCGUGGCGAAGGCGGUUCUCUGGGACGGUACUGACGCUGAGACGCGAAAGCGUGGGGAGCGAACAGG